CAGGGAGACAAAACUGAUUGUGAUGUCUAAAUUAUUUAUCUUUAGACCAUAAUCCUGUCACCUUAGGUCGAUCGGUACCUCAAUUAAAUAACAAUCAAUCUAAGCAAUUAGUUUUUAGUUAUUUGAAUCAGUUCCUAAACUUUGUCUAGGUCACACCCAGCAAUGGUACUCCUGGGCCAUUAGCUCAGGUGGUUAGAGCGCACCCCUGAUAAGGGUGAGGUCCCUGGUUCAAGUCCAGGAUGGCCCAUUCGGUGUUGGGGGUACAGCUCAGUUGGUAGAGCGCCUGCUUUGCAAGCAGGAUGUCAGCGGUUCGAGUCCGCUUACCUCCACUGAUCAAACUCCUGAUAGCGAAGUUGAGGAGAUUAUUGUUUAGUGUGAUCUAGAAUUUGUUACUGAUUAAAUGAACCUAGCUUCUUGUCAUUCCUUCUAAAACUCUUUUGUUUUGGCUGAUAAGACGCUGGGCUCCCUGCAAAUAAUUGCAGAGAACUUCAGUAGAACCUUGACAACUGCAUAGGUGAGUCUGGAAAGAAUAAAGCAUCUCAUGGAUGCACUAAUUCUUUUGAUUUUUGUUUUUGAGUUAUUCAAAAAUCAAAUUUUUAAUUGAAUUAGUGAUUAAUUCUUGAGCAAGAGCUGAGACUCUAUAACGCCCUUUCAUUUCUUAAAUGUUAAUGAGAGUUUGAUUUUAUAUUUUUCUUUUGUAUAUAAAUUAGAUUAAUUCUAAAAAUAUACGCACAAGGAAAAUAUAAAAGAAAGUGCUAACAACACAUGGCUUAUAGAGAAUUAUAU
rnacentral:tRNA from 1 species